ACGUAGGUGGCAAGCGUUGUCCGGAUUUAUUGGGUUUAAAGGGUGCGUAGGCGGCCCUGUAAGUCAGUGCUGAAAUCCUCCGGCUUAACCGGAGAUGUGGCAUUGAUACUGCAGGGCUUGAGUACAGAUGAGGUAGGCGGAAUUGACGGUGUAGCGGUGAAAUGCAUAGAUAUCGUCAAGAACACCGAUAGCGAAGGCAGCUUACUGGGCUGUAACUGACGCUGAUGCACGAAAGUGUGGGGAUCAAACAGGAUUAGAUACCCUGGUAGUCCACACUGUAAACGUUGAUUACUCGCUGUUUGCGAUACACAGCAAGCGGCUUAGCGAAAGCGAUAAGUAAUCCACCUGGGGAGUACGCCGGCAACGGUG
rnacentral:rRNA from 1 species